UACGAAGGGGGCUAGCGUUGUUCGGAAUUACUGGGCGUAAAGCGCGCGCAGGCGGCUAUCCAAGUCAGUGGUGAAAGCCCGGAGCUCAACUCCGGAACUGCCAUUGAAACUGUUUAGCUUGAGGACGAGAGAGGUGAGUGGAAUUCCCAGUGUAGAGGUGAAAUUCGUAGAUAUUGGGAAGAACACCGGUGGCGAAGGCGGCUCACUGGCUCGUAUCUGACGCUCAGGCGCGACAGCGUGGGAUCGA
rnacentral:rRNA from 1 species